CCUACGGGGCGCUGCAGUGAGGAAUAUUGGUCAAUGGCCGGAAGGCUGAACCAGCCAUGCCGCGUGAAGGUCAGUGCCCUAUGGGCGUUAAACCUCUUUUGUGCGGGAGCAAUAAUGGUCACGUGUGGCCCGACGAGAGUACCGUACGAAUAAGCAUCAGCUCACUCCGUGCCAGCAGCAGCGGUAAUACGGGGGAUGCAAGCGUUAUCCGGAUUUAGUGGGUUUAAAGGGUGCGUAGGCUGUGAGGUAAGUCAGCGGUGAAAUGCCCCCGCUCAACGGGGUGAAGUGCCAUUGAUACUGGCAGGCUGGAGUGCGGGUGCCGUGGGAAGAAUGUGUGGUGUAGCGGUGAAAUGCAUAGAUAUCACACAGAACACCGAUUGCGAAGGCAUCUCACGAAACCGCGAUUGACGCUGAUGCACGAAAGCGUGGGUAUCAAACAGGAUUAGAUACCCUUGUAGUC
rnacentral:rRNA from 1 species